rnacentral:tRNA from 1 species
CACUGGUUAAGUCAGUGGGUCCGCGACUAUGGGAUUGAAAAUCCCCGUGUCGGUGGUUCGAUUCCGCCUCCGGGCACCA